UUCUAUACUAGGAAUUCUCUAAGCUGGCAAAAACAUAGGUAGGGACUAAUGACGAUACUCCUGGUGGUGGUGGUGGCAGGAGUGCUGAGGAUGAGAUGAUGACAGUAAUUGUGAUGAUGAUGAAGAUGACAAAGGUUAUAUUUUUAUAAUACUUGGCUUUUAUCCACCCGUUUGAUCCUAUCAGCAACCCUCUCUUGGUUCUCCAGCAUACACAAACUUGCCAAUAUACACUAUUCAAACCAGCAAGGAAAGAGAAUGGUUCUGCCAUCUACUGUGAGGAAAUUGUCUGUUCCUGUUUGAUCUGUGAAAUUCCUUCAGUGGUCAGAGUGAGACCACCAGCCAUCUCCUCCCAGGCUGGAUUCUGAGCUCAUACUCCAGCUAUGGUAGACUCCUUUGACAGGAAGCAGAUCAGGGGCCCUUCCUCUGGUGUCCAGUUGUCUAUCGGUCAGUUUCUGGCCAUGCAGUGAGCAGGUGCUGGAAGGAGGAAACAUGCCCCCCCUGAGGGACUCCUCAGCAGCACCAGCCAAAAUAAGCUUCUCUGGCCCUGCUUACAUCUGUGGGAACAUAUAUGUCUCCCUGGUGAAAAGACUGAAGAACUCAGAGCAAGCAGGGACUCCUAAGUUAUUUGACUCAUCAUAAAAAUGGCCACCCUGGAAAUGUGUUGAAGUCUAUCAUAAAAUACCUACCAGCAAACACCAGGGGCUUCAUGGUUCAUUUGUUUCCCUUCCUUCAAAGGGAGAAAGCCAUAUUCUUCUGGCAAAUGAGUUUCGUUGCUAAGAUGCUUCUUCAAGAUGUAAAACAAGGCUGCAGAUUUCCUUCCCCAGUUUUCUGUAGAGAUCUUGUUCAUUACCAGAUGAGCUUAGCUUAGAAACACCAGAAAGGCCUGAUGAGUAGUGAGAUUUCAGGGAGUCCAUGAGCUUAGAUGGGAGGAAAUUACAUCUUUGUUUUCACUCGCAGAAACUUGGAAUUUCUUUCAAUUAUGAAUGCAGACAUUAGAACAUAGUCUUUGCUAGAAUGCCAAAGAGGUCCACGACCCCAAAAUGAUCAGGAAGUCCUGCUCUAGAGAAAUCAAAAUUCCUGUCGUCUCUUAUAGAAACUACCUUGAAAUUGAGCUAUUUGGAGCCUGCACGAGACAGCUUGCUAUGCUUCUGCCCAUAUCACCCCUUUCCCCACACACUUUAAUCAGAAUUGUGGUACUGAGAAAAGAGAGGUUGUCAAGUAGAGCUUCAAUCAGCUCUCCAGGGAAUCACUUGCUCCCAGGUUCCACAGGCACACACACACAUACAUACAUACAUACAUACAUACAUACAUAGAGAGAGAGAGAGAGAGAGAGAGAGAGAGAGAGAGCGAGAGAGAGAAAGAGAGAGAGAGAGAAAGAGAGAGAGAGGGAGAGGGAGAGAGAUACAGGCACAGAGAGAGAGAGAGAAAGAAAGAGAGAGAGAGAGAGGAGAGGGGAGAGAGAGAGAGAGAGAGAGAGAGAGAGAGAGAGAGAGAGAGAGAGAGAGAGAGAGAGAGAGAGAGAGAGAGAGAAAGAGAGAGAGAGGAGAGAGAGAGAGAGAGAGAGAGAGAGAGAGAGAGGAGGAGAGGGAGAGAGAGAGAGAGAGAUACAGGGACAGACAGAGAGAGAGUCAGAGACAGAGAGAAUUCCUUCCUAAGCCUGUAGCUCAGACUGCAGGUGGAUCUCUUACAUCCUUUGAGCAAGGACUCUAGCUCUGCUAAAUUCCCUCCUCCAAAUGUGAUACCUCCCUGAAGACUCAUUUCAGACCAGCCCUCAAAGUUCACUCCUUUUCACAAACUAUUUCACUGCUUCUGUCAUAGAUUGUUUGGGGAUCGUGCCCACUUUCCCUUCUCUCAAUUCCUAGCCAGCUGAAUUCUUCGUGCCAGCUUUCUAGAUGCAUCCCUUACAUAGAUAUCCCUACUUGAUACAGCAUUGCCCCAUAACCACUCCAAAGAUAAUGCCUCCCUUCACCUCCAUAAGGGACUUAAUCCAUUCCGCUUUGAAAUUUCCACCCUAGGUCUAAAAAGUUCUAACUGGUAAGCAGGGGGAAUGCAAACUAUGUGCCUGACACACAAUAUGGGGUGAAUUAUAUAAUUUUUGCAAAAUCUAAGAUUUAAAAAUUUUUUGAGAAAAAUUUCAGGAAAAGAAGCUCACUAAUUUACCAAAUCAAGAAAAUGGACUGUUUGGAGAGGGGGCCAUCAACAAGCCUGCAGAAACCUACACUGCAUCAGAAGAUCCAGAAUGAACUUUGGGAUGUAGUGAAUUGAACUGAAGGGGGUUGAACACAUUUAUUUUGAAUGUAAACUCUUAUGCCAAAGGGUAUUUCCCCCUAAUUGGCUUUUUGUCAGUGUGCCUACCAAUUAUUGGUGUUGGUCUCUCUCUUUUAUUUCCUUCUUAUCUCCAACUAUUGUAACUUCCUCUUAGAACAUGCAAUAUUGUAUGCACCUCUAGCUAGAAGAUCUUUAGAGAUAUAAGCUGGAUAUAUUAAAUGAUUCAUUGGAGACCCAAGGCAUAUAAAUCUGGCAGAUUUCAUCAUGCUCUUCUCCCAACAGAAUCACAGGGAGGAUUGUGAAGAUAGAAUUAACUCUCCCUUUGUCUACUUUUAACUAUUCAAACCAAGAACUUCAAGCACCCCUACAUAGUAGCUAGUGAAUCAUUAGGUAAGAGAGUUCACAAAUCACUUACUAGUUCAGAGCACCAAAAACCGUAAGCCCUGCGCCACCUUGGGCAGUACUAGGAAAAUUCGGAGGCUGAAAUUGGUUCCUGUAAAGAGGGGGAGAGACAGGAAGUGAUGUGGGAAAGGGGGUAUAAAAGAGGAGAUGAAUAUGGUCUGGCCUCUUUUCUUCCUUGGUUUUUUGGAAAGUCUGAUUCCUGGAGAGACUCUUCCCUUGGAUUCUGCAUCAGUGAGUAGAGCUAAAGACACUCUGACUGAGGACUAAUGGGAAAUCCACAUGGAGAUCAGGACUUGGGGAAGCCCCUGCCAGGGGCUGAGCUGGACUUUACUGGAGUGGCACUUAGGACUGGAAGGCUAGACCAGGCUUUGUCUCCUUCCAUAUUUCAUACUUUCACUAUCUCUACCUUGUUUUAAAUAAAAGCUGCUAAAAGU